rnacentral:rRNA from 1 species
UACAGAGGUCUCGAGCGUUGUUCGGAUUCAUUGGGCGUAAAGGGUGCGUAGGUGGCGCCGUAAGUCGGGUGUGAAAUUUCGGAGCUUAACUUCGAAACUGCAUUCGAUACUGCGGUGCUUGAGGACUGGAGAGGAGAGUGGAAUUCCUGGUGUAGCGGUGAAAUGCGCAGAUAUCAGGAAGAACACCCGUGGCGAAGGCGGCUCUCUGGGACGUGACUGACGCUGAGACGCGAAAGCGUGGGGAGCGAACAGG